rnacentral:rRNA from 1 species
UACGUGCCAGCAGCCGCGGUANUACGUAGGUGNCNAGCGUUGUCNGNANNNAUUGGNNGUAAANNGCUCGCAGGCGGUUUCUUAAGUCUGAUGNGAAAGCCCCCGGCUCAACCGGGGAGGGUCAUUGGAAACUGGGGAACUUGAGUGCAGAAGAGGAGAGUGGAAUNCCACGUGUAGCGGUGAAAUGCGUAGAGAUGUGGAGGAACACCAGUGGCGAAGGCGACUCUCUGGUCUGUAACUGACGCUGAGGAGCGAAAGCGUGGGGAGCGAACAGGAUUAGAUACCCUGGUAGUCCACGCCGUAAACGAUGAGUGCUAAGUGUUAGGGGGUUUCCGCCCCUUAGUGCUGCAGCUAACGCAUUAAGCACUCCGCCUGGGGAGUACGGUCGCAAGACUGAAACUCAAAGGAAUUGACGGGGGCCCGCACAAGCGGUGGAGCAUGUGGUUUAAUUCGAAGCAACGCGAAGAACCUUACCAGGUCUUGACAUCCUCUGACAAUCCUAGAGAUAGGACGUCCCCUUCGGGGGCAGAGUGACAGGUGGUGCAUGGUUGUCGUCAGCUCGUGUCGUGAGAUGUUGGGUUAAGUCCCGCAACGAGCGCAACCCUUGAUCUUAGUUGCCAGCAUUCAGUUGGGCACUCUAAGGUGACUGCCGGUGACAAACCGGAGGAAGGUGGGGAUGACGUCAAAUCAUCAUGCCCCUUAUGACCUGGGCUACACACGUGCUACAAUGGACAGAACAAAGGGCAGCGAAACCGCGAGGUUAAGCCAAUCCCACAAAUCUGUUCUCAGUUCGGAUCGCAGUCUGCAACUCGACUGCGUGAAGCNGGAAUCGCUGUAAUCGCGGAUCAGCAUGCCGCNAGAAUACGUUCCCAAGCCUUUGCACACCGCCC